GACUUAAGCAUAUCAAUAAGCGGAGGAAAAGAAACCAACAGGGAUUGCCUCAGUAACGGCGAGUGAAGCGGCAACAGCUCAAAUUUGAAAUCUGACCCCUUCGGGGCCCGAGUUGUAAUUUGUAGAGGACGCUUCGGGUGCGGCGCCGGUCUAAGUUCCUUGGAACAGGACGUCAUAGAGGGUGAGAAUCCCGUAUGCGACCGGCGGUCAACCUCAUGUGAAGCCCCUUCGACGAGUCGAGUUGUUUGGGAAUGCAGCUCAAAAUGGGUGGUAAAUUUCAUCUAAAGCUAAAUACCGGCCAGAGACCGAUAGCGCACAAGUAGAGUGAUCGAAAGAUGAAAAGCACUUUGGAAAGAGAGUCAAACAGUACGUGAAAUUGUUGAAAGGGAAGCGCUUGCAACCAGACCUGCCCGCGGGCGAUCAGCCGUUAUUCUUAGCGGUGCACUCGUCCGCGAUCAGGCCAGCAUCGGUUCGGGCGGCCGGAUAAAGGCUUCGGGAAUGUAGCUCCCCCCGGGGAGUCUUAUAGCCCGGGGUGCAAUGCGGCCAGCCCGGACCGAGGACCGCGCUUCGGCUAGGAUGCUGGCGUAAUGGUUGUAAGCGACCCGUCUUGAAACACGGACC
rnacentral:rRNA from 1 species